UACAGAGGGUGCGAGCGUUAAUCGGAAUUACUGGGCGUAAAGCGCACGUAGGUGGCGACGUAAGUCGGGUGUGAAAGCCCCGGGCUCAACCUGGGAAUUGCAUUCGAGACUGCAUUGCUGGAGUACGGAAGAGGAAGGCGGAAUUCCCGGUGGAGCGGUGAAAUGCGUUGAGAUCGGAAGGAACGCCCGUGGCGAAAGCGAGGUCCUGGACGCCUGCUGACGCUGAGACGCGAAAGCCAGGGGAGCGAACGGG
rnacentral:rRNA from 1 species